AGUGAACGCUGGCGGUAGGCCUAACACAUGCAAGUCGAACGGCAGCACAGUAAGAGCUUGCUCUUACGGGUGGCGAGUGGCGGAUGGGUGAGGAAUACAUCGGAAUCUACUUUUUCGUGGGUGAUAACGUAGGGAAACUUACGCUACUACCGCAUACGACCUACGGGUGAAAGCAGGGGAUCUUCGGACCUUGCGCGAUUGAAUGAGCCGAUGGCGGAUUAGCCAGUUGGCGGGGUUAAGGCCCACCAAGGCGACGAUCCGUAGCUGGUCUGAGAGGAGGGUCAGCGACACUGGAACUGAGACGCGGUCCAGACUCCUACGGGGGGCAGCAGUGGGGAAUAUUAGACAAUGGGCGGAAGCCUGAUCCAGCCAUACCGCGUGGGUGAAGAAGGCCUUCGGGUUGUAAAGCCCUUUUGUUGGGAGAGAAAAGCAGCAGGUUAAUUCCCCGCUGUUCUGACUGUACCCAAAGAAUAAGCACCGGCUAACUUCGU
rnacentral:rRNA from 1 species